GUAGGGAAUCUUCGGCAAUGGGGGGAACCCUGACCGAGCAACGCCGCGUGAGUGAAGAAGGUUUUCGGAUCGUAAAGCUCUGUUGUAAGAGAAGAACGUUGAGUAGAGUGGAAAGUUACUCAAGUGACGGUAUCUUACCAGAAAGGGACGGCUAACUACGUGCCAGCAGCCGCGGUAAUACGUAGGUCCCGAGCGUUGUCCGGAUUUAUUGGGCGUAAAGCGAGCGCAGGCGGCUCUGUAAGUCUGAAGUUAAAGGCAUUGGCUCAACCAAUGUUCGCUUUGGAAACUGCAGGGCUUGAGUGCAGAAGGGGAGAGUGGAAUUCCAUGUGUAGCGGUGAAAUGCGUAGAUAUAUGGAGGAACACCGGUGGCGAAAGCGGCUCUCUGGUCUGUAACUGACGCUGAGGCUCGAAAGCGUGGGGAGCAAACAGGA
rnacentral:rRNA from 1 species